rnacentral:rRNA from 1 species
UAACGCGUGGGUAACCUGCCUCNUACAGGGGGAUAACAGUUAGAAAUGACUGCUAAUACCGCAUAAGACCACAGCACCGCAUGGUGCAGGGGUAAAAACUCCGGUGGUAUGAGAUGGACCCGCGUCUGAUUAGCUAGUUGGUAAGGUAACGGCUUACCAAGGCGACGAUCAGUAGCCGACCUGAGAGGGUGACCGGCCACAUUGGGACUGAGACACGGCCCAAACUCCUACGGGAGGCAGCAGUGGGGAAUAUUGCACAAUGGGGGAAACCCUGAUGCAGCGACGCCACGUGAGCGAAGAAGUAUUUCGGUAUGUAAAGCUCUAUCAGCAGGGAAGAAAAUGACGGUACCUGACUAAGAAGCACCGGCUAAAUACGUGCCAGCAGCCGCGGUAAUACGUAUGGUGCAAGCGUUAUCCGGAUUUACUGGGUGUAAAGGGAGCGUAGACGGAUGGGCAAGUCUGAUGUGAAAACCCGGGGCUCAACCCCGGGACUGCAUUGGAAACUGUUCAUCUAGAGUGCUGGAGAGGUAAGUGGAAUUCCUAGUGUAGCGGUGAAAUGCGUAGAUAUUAGGAGGAACACCAGUGGCGAAGGCGGCUUACUGGACAGUAACUGACGUUGAGGCUCGAAAGCGUGGGGAGCAAACAGGAUUAGAUACCCUGGUAGUCCACGCCGUAAACGAUGACUACUAGGUGU